AGUUUUUGUGCAUUUGGGCCCUCUGUACAAAAUGUCUCAAGCUGUUAUUGAAGUAGGGACAAAUGAAGCUGAAGCAAUGUCCAGCACUGAAACCAUGCACUGGCCUGGCCAGCCUCGGGCCAAGAGCACCACAAACACAGGAGAUACAGUGAGGCUUCCAAAGCCUCACCCUCAGGACAUGGGUUUCACCCUCUGCAAGCUGUUGUGCAGUGAACAGGAGCCCAUGCCAACUCCUGAAUCUCUGUCUACUUUCUGCAGAGCAUAAUUGGCCUUUGAAACCACCUCGGAGAUGGAACAAAAAUACAGACACUGGAGAGGAAGUUUGAUUCGGGGAUCAAAAAGAUUCAAGGAAAUUCCAGGUCUCAGAAGACUCUAGGACUCUCCCACAGCUUUCAUUUUUUUCUCCCACUUUCCAGUUUUCAGGUCCCCAGCUCCCCAUCCCUCCUGUCGGUGUGUACAAGAAGACUCCUUUAUCCCACAGCUACAGGCUCAACCCUUCCUUGGAAGGCAAUGUUUUUGCUGCACAGGUGUCCACUACAAGAUGUAUAUACUGUUUUCUACUCAAAGUUGUCUCAUAUACACUCAGAUCUGGAGGCAAAGGAAGUCCAUCAAAUCAAAUCCAAAAUUACACUAUUACCACAGAAUAAUAAUUUAUUGUUGGGACUUCACACUGAUACUUUUCUACCAAUCUGCUGCUCUUGCAGGCUUUUUUUUCCCCCUGGCAUUCCUAAUAGUUCAUCUGUAAAGGUAGUCCAUAAACCAAUCUUAUGCACAAGGAAAGUUAAAGGCAAAAUUACAGUGUGUUACAGUAUAAAAAACCCUGCAAAU